GAAGAUGCAGCUCAGUGGUAGAGCACUUUUCUAAUAAGUGUUAAGUCUUGGGUUCAAUUCCUAGCAGCCUCC
rnacentral:tRNA from 1 species